rnacentral:rRNA from 1 species
GCGCACGCUGGCGGCAGGCUUAACACAUGCAAGUCGAGCGGGCACCUUCGGGUGUCAGCGGCAGACGGGUGAGUAACACGUGGGAACGUACCCUUCGGUUCGGAAUAACGCUGGGAAACUAGCGCUAAUACCGGAUACGCCCUUAUGGGGAAAGGUUUACUGCCGAAGGAUCGGCCCGCGUCUGAUUAGCUAGUUGGUGGGGUAACGGCCUACCAAGGCGACGAUCAGUAGCUGGUCUGAGAGGAUGAUCAGCCACACUGGGACUGAGACACGGCCCAGACUCCUACGGGAGGCAGCAGUGGGGAAUAUUGGACAAUGGGCGCAAGCCUGAUCCAGCCAUGCCGCGUGAGUGAUGAAGGCCUUAGGGUUGUAAAGCUCUUUUGUCCGGGACGAUAAUGACGGUACCGGAAGAAUAAGCCCCGGCUAACUUCGUG